rnacentral:rRNA from 1 species
UGGGGAAUUUUGCACAAUGGGGGAAACCCUGAUGCAGCGACGCCGCGUGAUUUAGAAGGCCUUCGGGUUGUAAAAAUCUUUUCUAUGGGAAGAAAAUGAUAGUACCAUAGGAAUAAGGACCGGCUAAUUACGUGCCAGCAGCCGCGGUAAUACGUAUGGAGCAAGCGUUAUCCGGAUUCAUUGGGCGUAAAGCGCUCGUAGGCGGUCUGUUAGGUCGGCAAGUUAAAUCCGGGGGCUCAACCCCCGUCCGCUUCCGAUACCGGCAGACUUGAGUUUGGUAGGGGAAGGUGGAAUUCCUAGUGUAGCGGUGGAAUGCGCAGAUAUUAGGAAGAACACCGGUGGCGAAGGCGGCCUUCUGGGCCAUAACUGACGCUGAGGAGCGAAAGCUAGGGGAGCGAACAGG